UCCCAGGUAGCUUAAUGGUAAAGCACCCAACCGGCAAUUGGGGGAUCUGGGUUCAAGUCCCCGUCUAGGCU
rnacentral:tRNA from 1 species